AGGUCCUUUACAAACACAAGGCUCUCCUUUUGCCCGGGGAAAUACAUUCGGCGAGCCACUCAGCGAGCUUCAAAUUAAACAGCAAGAAUUAUACAAGAAUUUUCUUCGUUUUCAGGACCUGCAGCUGACGCACAGAUGGAGAUUCUUACGUAUGAAGCCUGUCUUUGGGUGGUGCAGCCUCAUCUGUGGCAAAGCCACUACCAGAGGAGGUUUCGGCCGUCACUUUGAUCCCUCAGCACUCCUUGUAAAUCCUCAGUGCAUUUAUGAGUAGAGAACUCUGUUUUGUGUUUUUGGGGAUGGGAGAUUGAGACAGGGUUUCUCUGUAUAACAGGCUGUCCUCCCUACCCCACACCCCAGCUCCUCUGGUUUUCAUGGAACUCACUCUGUCUCCUGGGUUCUGGGGUUAAAGGCAUGUGCCACCACUGUCUGGCUGAUUAUAUUACUCUACAAUGGUGAUUUUUCAGUUUUUUUCUUGGUGGUCACAAACUCCUUUUUUUCUUCUGUCACAAAUCACAGAAUUCUAAACAGCUAAAUGGUAUUUAUUGUUACUGUCAGUGAUACCUUACAGAAACAUCUAAAGCCUAAGAAUUUAAAUAAAUGUUUUAAAAUGUG
rnacentral:lncRNA from 1 species